UACGUAGGUGGCAAGCGUUGUUCGGAAUUAUUGGGCGUAAAGGGCGCGUAGGCGGUUUGUUAAGUCAGCUGUGAAAGCCCGGGGCUCAACCCCGGAGGGUCAGCUGAUACUGGCAGGCUAGAGUACAGAAGAGGUAACUGGAAUUCCCGGUGUAGCGGUGAAAUGCGUAGAUAUCGAGAGGAACACCAGAGGUGAAGACGGGUUGCUGGGCCGACACUGACGCUGAUAGCGCGAAAGCCAGGGGAGCAAACGGG
rnacentral:rRNA from 1 species